ensembl:lncRNA novel transcript, sense intronic to MLIP
GCACACUCUUUAAAGGAAGAGAUCUAAAAAGAGUUUAAGGAGAAGGUCAUGAUUGAGUAGGAUAGUUUUUGGAUUUGAGGAAAUAAGAAAUAGAUAUGUCACACAGGAGAAUUAGCAUGCAAAUGGUCUAGAUCAGUGCUGAGCAAUACAAACACAACGUGAAUGACAAAUGUAAGCCACAUAUGUAAUUUUAAAACUUCUAGUACCCAUAUUAAAAAAGUAAAAUGGAACAGCAAAUCUCAAUUCUGCCUAGUCACAAGAGCUCAACAGUGGGGACUACAUUGGGCAGCACAGAUCCAGACUCUAAAAUCUGUUAUUUGAAGAUAAAAUUUGAUUAAAUGAGAGAAUUAUUUUAUCUUA